AGUGAACGCUGGCGGUACGCCUAACACAUGCAAGUCGAACGGCAGCACAGUAAGAGCUUGCUCUUACGGGUGGCGAGUGGCGGACGGGUGAGGAAUACAUCGGAAUCUACUUUUUCGUGGGGGAUAACGUAGGGAAACUUACGCUAAUACCGCAUACGACCUACGGGUGAAAGCGGGGGAUCUUCGGACCUUGCGCGAUUGAAUGAGCCGAUGUCGGAUUAGCUAGUUGGCGGGGUAAAGGCCCACCAAGGCGACGAUCCGUAGCUGGUCUGAGAGGAUGAUCAGCCACACUGGAACUGAGACACGGUCCAGACUCCUACGGGAGGCAGCAGUGGGGAAUAUUGGACAAUGGGCGCAAGCCUGAUCCAGCCAUACCGCGUGGGUGAAGAAGGCCUUCGGGUUGUAAAGCCCUUUUGUUGGGAAAGAAAAGCAGCAGGUUAAUACCCCGCUGUUCUGACGGUACCCAAAGAAUAAGCACCGGCUAACUUCGUG
rnacentral:rRNA from 1 species